UCAGUGACUGAACUGAACUGAUACUAAAAUUGGAACGAUACAGAGAAGAUUAGUCUGGCCCUUGCACAAGUAUGGCAUGUAAAUUCACGAAGUGCUCCUUACUAUU
ensembl:snRNA U6 U6 spliceosomal RNA